rnacentral:lncRNA from 1 species
UCUAACCUCCAAACCUAUCGGGAGGUGGUGGACCGCGCGCUCAUCGUGGAGAGCGGCGCGGCAGAGGUCCAGGAGCAGCGAGAGGCUAGGGACAAGGGUAAGGCCAAGAGGCCUGCGGCGAAGGGUGCGAGCCAGACGCACUCUAGGAGGCCGCCGAAACACCCUAGGAGCCAGCAGCGUGGGCGCGGCAUGGCAGCGCAGCGAGGAGGUCCUGAUCGACGCCGACCUCCCCAAUGCGUGAUCUGCGGUGGUCCUCACACUCCACCGCAGUGUCCAUAGCGGGGAGGCAGGUGCUACCUGUGUGGCCAGGAGGGCCACUUCCGGACUGAGUGCCCGAGGAGAUCGUCACCGGCACCAUCGACUGCAUCGGCACCGGCUCUACCAGCCGCCAGCCACAGGACUCCAUCGGCGCAGUACCAGCCUGGGCGGCCACCCGUCCAGCGCCAGAGCGAGGGUUCUCGACAGGCCCCUAGUGGGUGUAUGUAUGCCGCUCAGACCGAGGAAGCGGCAGCAGCCGAGGAUGUGGUCGCAGGUAUCAUUUUACAUGAUGGUAUUAGAGUUCGUGCAUUAUUUGAUACCGGUGCAUCGCAUUCAUUCAUAAAUCGGCUGUUUGCCGAGUUGCAUGGCAUCCCUAUGUUUUCUUUGUUGC